AAAACAAUCAUCUUGAUGAAGAAAAUCAUCAGUUCGGUUAUACUGAUUCAGAGUUUAUUCAUAACGAGGAAAAUCAAUCGGAAACCCAAGAUAUGAAUGACAUCGGAAAUGAUCAUUACGAUGAAGAAAAUCAUCAAUUCAGAUCUGGUGAUUCAUAGAUUCUGGACAAUGAUGGAAAUCAAUUGGAAAUCCAAGUUCAAAGUGACAAUGUUGCAGCAGAAUAUGGAUCUUGCAAAGAAUUCAUUGGAGCUGAUGGUUCUUUAUUUUGGAUUCCAGUGGUUGAACCUGGUUGGAUACCUACUUUGGGUUCAAUUUUUAAAGAUAUAAAAGAUGCUAUUAAGUGGUAUAAAGGAUAUGCAUUAAGAUCUGGUUUUGAUAUUAGAAAAUCAACAGAGAGGAAAAAGAGUG